GAAGAAGCAAGAUACAGUACGAGACGUGCCAGGAAGAGGUGUCUAAAGCACAAGAACAUUGAAGUUGCCGCCAGUUGACUUUAGUGUGACCCUUUAGCUUUUGCACGUGCAAAGCACAAUUAGGAAUUAGGCUGAAUUCUUCCCAGGUAUCUGCUCUGUGCUGCUUUAGAUUUCUGCUGUUAGGAUGUGUUCCUGGCAGUGCCUCUUGACGGGGUACGUAGGAAUUGCAGAAAGUUAUUUCUCUCUGCUCUUCUCUGGUCAUUGGCUGGCUAGUAAGUAGCCACACUGGUGUUUUGAUUUCAUAUUCUCCAGGAGUAGCAUGCCCUUUUUCUUCCUAACUUAUCAAACUCCACAUGCACCUCUAUUUUUCAUUGUAGUAUACAUAUAAAUUAGAGCAAUGUACCUCUAGCUCCAUGCCUUGAAUGGCAAAAGCUACUUAGGCCUAAGUAUUUAAUUUUAAAUACUAUAUAAGUGUACAUACUCCAACAUGUAACUAUAGAUUUUAAAGAUACAGGACUGUUUAUUUUCACAUAAGUCAGUAGAUGUUUCUCUUAAAGCAUAAUAUUUCAUUUAGUAAAGCUUUAUAAAUUAUAUUAAAGGGAAGCAGGAAACAUGUAUUUUUUAACAGAAAUUGCUUCUUUUGACAUCAGAAAAAUGCUAAGAGUUGAUUCCAAGUAUUUGUUGUACUCGUAGCAGAUCUCCAGUUUCCCAGGCACCAUGUUGAGAACGGAGUUCAUUCAGACGUCACCACAUGUCUGUGUCUGUACACAUGUGUUUCUUUCUUUGCCAUGUAGACAGUAUUAACAGGUUGAGCAUUUUUGUUCUAGAAUAACAGCUUAAUUUCCACCAUGAAGACUUUGCCACACUGGUACAAUUGUGUGCCCUCUGACAUAGGUCAGACCUUUUUGGCUUUGACUUGGUCUUUGCAUCCUUCAUGCCUCCUGGGGGCUGCCAGUCUCUUGAAGUGGUAACCAAGCUCUUGACUCUGUUCCCCUUCAUAGUACAGAUGUCUAUACCAGUGCUUGAUAUCAGUGACCAAAACUCUCGCAGCCAGACGUGAUAUCUUUAAGAACACGCUGCAUGCGAUGUUUAGAAAAUCUGGGGAUACAUGCUUUUCACUAGUGCACAGUGUGUGUGUAUAAAUACACAUAGCUUUGUUCAUUUCUCAAAGUCCUUCCAACUAUUAAAUGUACUGUAGUCUGGUAGUGCCUCAAAUGUUGGUUUGAUUUUUGUGUUUUUUUAAUUUAUAAGUUUUCCAGAAUUUGUUCUUGACUUUUAAGGCUACUCGACUAGAUUGUUUCUAGUUGAGCUGAAAUUCAAAUGCAUUGUUCUCAGGGCUGUUUGUGCUAGGAGCUGAAGUGUCAUUAUUUAAAGAUAGCUGCCUACAAAUAUAUUGCAAGUUUUUCCCACGUCAUGAUACUGUAAUACAUACAAAUAAAAAUUCUUAGUAAAACAUU
rnacentral:lncRNA from 1 species